rnacentral:lncRNA from 1 species
AUAAUGAUCUAAUAUGAAUUUAAUCAAUUAUGAAUAUGAUAGGAAGGAAUAAUUUGAAAUAAAAAACCCGCAUAGUAAAGAACAUGACUACAUAUAUGCAUGACGAAAUAAUAAAAAGCUAUAAAACUUUAAUCUUAUAUAUACUAAACGGUAUAGAGAUAAUUGAAUUAAGAAGAAUCAUAUGGGAAAAAAUAUUUGAUGACUACGAAUUAGUAGAUAUAUUAAAUCAAGAAUGGUAUGAAAUAGAUUUACAAGAUCUAUAUUUAGAUAAUGAAAGAAUAGAAUGGUAUGAUUUAGAAAUAAAUUCAGAUUAAAAUGAAUUACGAAUAUUUACAAUAUUGGAUAGAAACUAUGGAAGAUAUAAAAUUAUUAGAACAAUUAAUGGCGGAAAAUUUAUAUAUGUAUCAAAGAACCCAAGAUAUGUUAUAUCUAGAGUAUAUCAUAAAUAAUAUUAAAGAAAUAUUCAGAUAUCAAAGAUUUAUCAAGUUGUAAGUUAUCUCUAUUCACUAUCUUUUUAAUUAUCUAAUGAUGUUUAUUGGUUUAUGUUUUUGAUCUUAUCCUUAUAUGCAUUGAUUUUUAGGUUGUAGAGUCAUGUUUGAAUGAACUGAUUUUGCAAAUGAUUCGAAUAGUUUCUUAAACAUUUCGAAUGAAAAAAUAUUGAUAUGCAUCCUCCGAUUCAGAUAUACUUAUACUGUUUGAUUUAAUUUUUGUCAAAUAAAUUGAUUUGUAUUAAAGUGAAGUUAGAUCUUUCAAAUUUAGUUAGAUCCAAGAAAGAUUCUUUAAUCUAAAAGAAUAUUUAAUUUAUUAUUGAAUAAUAGAGAUAAGAUCUAGUCUUUUUCCGAUUUACAAAGAGGUCUUGGGUAAAAUAAUUUUCUCAAUUUAAGGUAUGUCUAUUUGGUAAAACAUUUUUUCAAAUAAUCUAUAUCUUAAGAAAUAUUAGGAGGUAAUAUCACACUAUGUAUAACCAAUAGACUAAAUAAAUUUCUCAAUAUAGAACUAUAUUUUUUGAACUUAUAAAUGAAUAUGGAAAUAUGUUCUAAACUUAGAAAUCAUAGAAAUUACUUUAAUGUUUCUUAAAUUAAAAUCCUAGGAAUCCUUUUUUAACUCAUUCCUUGUGAAAAAGUUUUGCAGAAUUAUCAUUUAGAUUUUCUUAAUUCAAUUUUCAAAAGAUUACCUCUUCACUUCUUAAGUAGUGCAACAGUCUUUCCAAUCAUGUGUAACCAUAAAUAAGAUAACACAAAAAAUUAGAUAACCAAAUGAUAUGCAUGUGUUAAUUUAUUCAUAAAGAGGCUGUUAAAUUUUAUGAUAAUGUAAAUACUUUAAAAUAUAUAUAUAUAUAUAUAUAUUAAGAAAGCUUCUGAUACGAACAAACUAUCAACAAUGUUGAAAUUAUUGUUAUAGUCCCUUCAAUUGCCAAUUAUAAAGCUCUGAUUCAUUUUAUGAAAGGACUUUUUAGAAGCCUCCUGAUUAUGAAUAAAUUUGUAAAUAUAUGGCACUUGGGCCUAACUCAACCCCAAAGGCUAGCUCAUGAGGGGAAGAUUGCCCAAGUCCAUAUAAAGAGACCACCUGUCCAUUUCCUAACCAAUGUGGGACUUUUACCCACUCUAACACCCCCUUCACGCCCAGACCCGACUUGAGCAUGGACCGGGAGCUCAAACUGGAUGGACCUGACUCUGAUACCAUGUAAAGAUAUGACACCUGAGCUUAACUCAACCCUAACAACUAGCUCACAAGGAAAGGAUUGUCCAAGUCCAUAUAAGGAGACCAUUAGUCCAUUCCCCAACCUCCCCUUAUAUGGACUUGGACAAUCUUCCUCUUGUGAGCUAGCUUUUGGGGUUGAGUUAGACUCAGGUGUCAUAUCUUUACAUGGUAUCAGAGCCAGGUCCAUCCAGGUUUGGGCGUCCACGCUCCAGUCGGGCCUGGGAGUGAAGGGGGGUGUUAGAGUGGGUAAAAGUCCCACAUUAGUUGGGGAAUUGACUGAUGGUCUCCUUAUAUGGACUUGGGCAAUCCUCCCCUCAUGAGCUAGCUUUUGGGGUUGAGUUAGCUCUACCUUAAAUAAUAUGUAUGUCAUACUUCAAUCACACAGUAUUACCUACUCAUUUGUGUCUUUGAAAUACUUAUUCAUGACAAUAUUCAAGGUGUGGGGUAAAUACAUUAUUUUUUUAUUCAAAGCCCAUAAUUCAAGUUUUUUCUUAUUAUUUUGAUCCAUAAUAAAUUUUUACUAAUCUUAAUCGUAAUACUAAAUAAUGUUAAUCCAUCAUAUAUGUACCAUACAAAUACACCUUGGAGUGCAUUAGUUGCAAAGGGUCGAGCAUAUGUAUGUGUUUGCAUUAGACACGUUCAAGUCAAUAAGGUCAAUGCUCUCUCUCUCUCUCUCUCACACACACACACACUCACUCACUCACUUUAGAAUCUCAAUCACGCAGGCUUAGAAAAUCUAGAAUAAUGUUAUCGCGCUUAAGAAUUUAUUCAUUUAAAUACCGCAAUUGCAUUGAAAGACAAUUAAGAAAAAUUAUGAUCAAUGAAUAUUUUUAAAUUAACUUUUGCUACAUUUGGAAAAGGCUAAUUGAGAUCGUGGGGAGUUGACCUUAUUAACUUAGGGCUUACACAUUCAUGUAAGAAUUCUUCAACUCUCUAUGAUGAUUAUACUUGAAUUUAAACCACAGAAUCAUGAGAUUUGAAUGCCUAAAUUGAUAGGAGUAAUUUUUAGUUGUUAAAAUAUAAAACUAGGGAUUUGACCUAGAAAAUGAAAUAAUAAGUUAAAUUUGAUUAUAGAAAUGGAAUCGUGAGUCAAAAAUUUAAAAUUGCUCUCCACUACCCAGCAGACGAAACCCUAAUUUUGUCUACUUUUUUCAUGGCCUUCGGCCAGUUGAGGUUGGCCAGUCGCAAAGGAUAUUGGAGGAGAAGAAAAUGACAUACACAAACACUCUCGCAGCACCAAAACCACAACAUUAUAACAUCCAAAUUAAGCCUUUAACAAAUUUGCAUGGGGAACCAAAAAUAGUAUGGGAAGAGGAAGAGGUACAACAAAUGAUCAUUAAUUAGGACCUACAAUACGCAGUGAUUGGAAAUUGUUUUUAUGGAUGGCCUGACAUUCUAGAUCUAUGGAAAUUGCUACCAAAACAAUGUGAUCUAAAAGGGGAAGUGAACAUAGGGCUUUUAAGUAGUCGAUACGUCUUAAUAAGGGCAUCACUGCAAGAGGAUUACGUGAAAUUGUUAUCAAAACCUCAAUUUUACAUCACUCAUAAUCAUUGGUCUUAUCCAAUGAGAACCCUGAAGUGCGACACUUUAUUUGAUCCGGAGGAGGAAACGACUGUUGACACCCAAUUUUGGACCUCCACAAUAUAUAUUAAUCACGAGCUUUUUAAAAUUCCAAACAAUUUGAAAUAAUUGACUUCAUAAAGUUUAAGAUAUUCUUCAAGUUAUUUUAAAUAGUUUUGUCACUUUUUAUAAUUUUUAAAUAAUAUAUAUGUUUUAAAUAAUUAUGUACAUAAUUAGUAUAUUUUAUGAAUAUUCGAAAAUUGUCUAAAAAAAUAGAUUUUAAUUUUAGUUAAAUAUUUUAUCAAUUAGUUUGGUUUAAGUAAUAGUUUAUGUUUUAAAAUUAAUUAGUUUAUAAUUAAGUGAAUUAUUUUAUUUCGUUAAGCUUAAGAAACUCGUUAAUUAAUUAAUAUUAAUUUGUUGUAUUUAAUCUUUAGUCGGAUUCACUAAUUGAGUCAAAUUAGCUAAAUUUUAAAGUUAAGUGGACUAAGUUUGCAAUUCAUUUGGUUAUUUUUCUAAUACAAAUAUAGCCACCUUUUGUCCACUUCUUGGAAUAAUUUUCAAGAGGAAAGUUGACCCAAAGCAAAUUUCCAGCCCAUUCCAUACGUUGCCCAGCCCAACUCCACCUCUUUUCCCAGGCCUAAUUUUUCCCCACAAUACCAAAGAAACUCAUUCCAAAACAUUACCCAUAAACAAACCCGUGUUUCCCAGACAAUACAUACAACAACAACCCACCAACAAUACCAAAUAGCAUACCCGACCCCGACCCCUGUACAACAUUUUCUUCUCCAGUGUUAACUCCAGCAGCUCACAAACGACGCGAACAACGACUCCAAACGACAUCAAUUUUCCGUCAAAGUUCACAAAAAUUACAUGACGUGAACAAGCCAAUGCAGUACACUGCAAUUCGUUGUUGUCUUUUUUUCCCCCUCUCCAGCAGUACGAUCUCAGCAAAAAAAAGCAAAUCGCGUCUCGUCCUUGGGCUGUGAGAUCAUGCCACAAAGCACGCCAAGGACAAUCAAUCGAUCCGAGGCAUCCAUUUCUCCUUUCCUCUUUCGGAUUGGUCUGAAGUUUCAGAAAAAAGUUGCCUCCCAUUAAUGGUGAAAGAAUUUCGAGUUUGAAUUUUGGAAAUGAGCCUCAUCCUAUCCGAAUUCUCACUUUUCCCCUAAAAAGUUUGUAACCCUAAUUUUUGCUUAUAAAUACUCUCUUCCUCUUGUUUGUUAAAGGUUGGAGAAUAUCAGAAAGAUAUAGGAGGGAAAGGCAUAAUAUAACAUUGAUAUAUAAAAAUUCAUCAGAAGGUUCUCUGUGUGGUUUCUUAGUGAUCAGCGUAGAAGUUUUUCGAGUCCAAAUUUCCAUCUCGGGUUCCCUGUGCUCUGUUUGGAAUCUCUCGAAGUCAGUGGAAGUUGCUCUCUAGCUCGUCACUGUCUCCAUUUCGCUGCACCGAAAAAGGUAACAUUUCUUCUCUUGCGGCGUUCUCCUCGUCUUCCCCUCCAUCUCAAUGCGCUGUUGUAUGAUGCUAUAAAAAAUCCUUAUUCUUUGGUUGUUCGCUAUUAGUUGUUGUUGGACUGGUGAUUGUUUUAAUAUGACACUUGCAUUCUUAGCCGUUUUAUGGCAUAGUGUCGAGUUAAAAUUUUGGAGAUUUGUUGGGUUUCUUUGCUGAAGUUGUGUGUGUUAUUUUGUUGUUGUCAACCAUCAUUAAGUUGUUUAUUCAGGUUAAUGCAGUGUUUGUUCUGCGUCAGUUUUCUUUGUUUGAAAUUAGCCUAUAUCUUACCAAGUUUUGCUUGUAUGUCAUUUUGGUUUGAGCCCUGAAGCAUGCUAAAAAAAAAUGAUUUUAAUGCAUAUAUCUAAGUCGUUUCGAUAUAAUGGUCUUGGUUGUUUCACCCUUUCCUUUCUAUUCGUCUUCUCACUAGCUAGAGCAAAUUUUUGGCUUAUCUCAACCCCGUUUGGCUUAAUCGUUGAUGUUUAAAUGGGUUACCGCCUGUGAGUUGAUUCAGUCUGGGUUUCAAAUCUCUUGCUUUAUUUGAAAAGAUUUUAGUCUCGUUAGAAGUGGGUUUAAGGUCAUUUACCUAUUAUUCUUGGUCAUAUUCCUUGCCUUGUUUCUUUAAAUUAAGUAGGUGAUUUUAAUUUUGGUUAGCUUUCUAGGAAGAAUUCUCCAGUAUGUGCCUUUGUUGCAAGCAUGCUUUAAUUACAUCCAAGUAUGGAUUUAUUCUUAGAAUUGUCUUUGUCUGCUUGCUCUCUGUACCGAUCUUUUUAAUGUUAAAAUGAGUUAUUUUCUUUUCGUAGCAGCAUAUGAGAUUUGCCUUUCUUGUGUUACCUUUUAGUUUGAUUUUUCUCAUAGUGAGGAUUAAUAACAUAUAUUAUUUUGGGAAGAUAUUACCUCCAAAUUGGAUUAUUUGUUUUAUCUGCUAGUGGAUUUUUGUUUCCUUUAGGUCUUGCUUGUCUUUAAAUAUUAAAGUUUUAUCAAAUAAUAGUCUUCCAGUAACCCAUUUAUGAUUAGGAAAAGUUUAGUCAAUUGAUUUUGGAUUUAAUAGCUUGGUUUUUUGUUUUAAAUACGUGUAGUAAGGUAUUGAUUUUGGCGGGUCCACUGCUAUGCCAUCAGUGGGGUUUGUUGCUUUAUUGAGUUUUAUCACUGAGUUUCUUUGUUAUGAAUGUGUAUUGAUCCUUUUCUUUUCCUCCUGUCACUGAGUUUCUUUGUUAUGAAUGUGUAUUAAUCCUUUUCUUUUCCUCCUGUCUCAUGUGCUUUCGAGUGAGUUCAUUGAACUCCAUUGCCUUCCUCUCAUUUCAUUCCAAAUGGGCCAUGGAGGCCCAAUUGCAUUUCCUCGAGUCAUAUUUAAACUCAAGCCCCAAUGGACUGCAGCGUACAGGUUCAGGAAAGUUGGUACACAGGAAUGAUGCAGAAAUACGAACCCAAAACACGGUCCGUAUAUGGGGGUAUACGUAAAACGUAUACACAAUUUUUCUUAAGGAGAUAGGCCCAAAAGCCUUGAACAAUUUCAGUAGGUCCAAAGGAGCUAAUGAGCCGACCCAUGUUUGCUUGCAAAGUUAUAGACUUAGGACAGGUGGGCCAAAAGGCCAAUUUAAUUGGGUUUGCGCCAAAAGUCCGAGUCUAAAUAUUUAUUUUCUCUCUAUUAUUAUUUAUAUUGUAUUGUUUGACUAACUUUGUUUAUUUUAUGAUUUAAUUUAAUUAAAUUCCCAAAGAUAUCCAUUUCACUUUUUUUUAUAUAUUCAAAUUAAAAUAUUUAUAUUUUUAUACUUAGCUUUAUUUUUAUUAUUCGUCUUGUCAUUUAAAUUAUUUACCUUUAGAAAAAUUCUCCUUUAGUUCAUUUCCUCUUAAGAUAAUUAAAAUGACAAUUAUAAUAAAAAUAUAAAUAAAUAAAAAUUAAUAACAAGAAAUGAGCUUUCUUACUAAGUUAAUAUUUUCUCAAAAUUAGUUAGAGUCAUGUUAGUCGAAUCGUCGGUCAAUCGCAAGUUAGCGGACAUUUCGAGGGCCUAACACCUUCUCGAAAUGUACAUUUGAACUCGAACCCUUUUUCAAUUGAUUUUAUCUGUUGAAGUCUUUUGAAAACCUUAAGGUUUUUCUUGAUUUUUACUAAAAAAAUUAAGUGGCGACUCUGUUUCUUUUGGAAAUUCGAUUUCUCUUAAAUCAUAAGUUUAAUCGUUUUUCGAAAACUUCGUCAUUUUUUUUGAGUAAAAAAGAGGUGACUACUCCGCUGGGGACUUAAUUAAGUUCUAACCAUAAGAUUUGAGUUAUUUGACUAAUUGUUAUUAAUUGCUGAAUUGUUUAUCUGCGCUUAAUGUGUUUAAAUUGAUAUUACAUUCAUUGCAUUCAUGAUAUUUCCUGUUGUAUGUAUAGUAUAUUAAGGACGGUUUCUGCAUAAUCACAGCUGAACUUUUUAUACUCAAUCCUUUUCCGGAAGGAUCGACAAUUUAUUGGUACGUCAUGCGUCCAAUGGUUGUCGUGAAUUCCAGCCUAAGUUGUCCACUUAGGUUCCCAGUCUUUCAAAAGCCAAUCUUAGUCAACUAGCGUAGAGCGAAAGCAAAUCCCAAUUUUUAGCGUAUUUUGAACUAGGUUGAUCCAACACCCAAGGCGUGUUGGGCCCAUUAUAAGCCUAUCUUGUGUCUAUUUGGCCCAUUUGCCAAUAAAAAGACAAUCAUGCUUAUGUGUUUAAUUGAAGGAUGUAUAUGUCAAUUUAAACAAAUUAAUUAUCUAUGGGAGUGGGGGUAACUUAACUUGUCUAUUUUUCUUGUAGGAUAAAUUCGACAUGUGAGCCGUUGAGGACCCGAAUGGUGACCAUACCCCAUCCUUACCUCCAAGUUUGGUGGAAGUUCAUGAACGCAGAAGACAAGAAGAAAGUUCAAAGGCACAUAGGUCAUCUCCCAUCAUAAAUGGAAAUGAUAGCUUAUCCAGAUCUGAUUGGGACAAUGGUGAAAUUUUGGGACAACAAUAACAUGGUGUUCCGGUUCGAGAAAGUAGAGUUGACUCCGACUAUCGGUGAAGUUCUUGCAAGUUAUGAGAGUGUCGAUAUGUGCAACAAGAGGAAACACCAACCUAAUACUGAUCUUCUCUUUCCAAAGAUAUGGGAUUUUACUGAAAUAAAAGAAAAUCUUUCACUUGUCAAAGCUGAGUGGAUAGAUAGACUUCCCAGGUCAAAUAUUCCACUUCGAAAGUUGUAUUAUCGAUUUGGACGCGCUAGAGCUUACGAGAAGUUCAAAGAAGAGUUUAUCUAUGAAGAAAAAUGGAAGGAAACACGUCCCCUUGCUUUUUCAAUAUGCCUCAUUGGAACGAUGGUAUUUCCCCAAGGACCAAACUACAUUAUCUAUCCAAGUGUAGUAAUGGUUGCCACGCUAUCUUUAAUGGAGUAGGCUACGGGUCUGCAAGAAAGUACUACAAUUUGGCUCCUAUGAUCCUUGCUGACAUUUACAGUACAUAGGAUAGAUGUAAUAGUGGCACGUGUUUCUUUCAAGGGUGCAACCUAAUACUUCAAUAGUGGAUGAUGAGACACUUGAUCAAAGUUCAUAAUCUGAAAGAACCAGAUCCCUUGGAAAGACCGAACAAACUCGAAAGUCACGAUUGUUGGUUACAACUUAAUCAUUUCAACAUGACUGGAGGCCAAGAAUUUUGGUACCCGAGACUUCAGGGUUUGAGAGAGGAAAAUGUGCAGUGGUCGAUUCCAUGCUUGGUGGUAACAAAACAAAUAGUGAUCCGAAGUGGAAAAGCCCCCUACAUGAUAUUUGCUGGGUUGAGAGGAACUCGACCAUAUGCUCCUUCUCGAGUACUUAGACAACUAGCAGGGAAACAAAAGCUUCCCCAAAUCGAAGAUAUGACAAGAUUUGUGAAGGAUCAUGAAAAUGGCGAAGUCGCUUUUACUAAAAAUAUGCUUCAAUUAUGGAAAAAUCGAAAGGUAUUGGGUGAGCCCGUGCCAAAUAGGUUUCGUCCUAAAUGUUCUAAGGAUUACAAGGAAUGGUUAAAGAAGAGUCUUGCCGAAACUAUCGAACCCGGUCCAAACGUUCCCUAUAUUAUUGCAGAUGUUGGAGCCAAACAUCAAAUUUGACUUCAUCAAUUCCAAGAGAAGUUUGAUAAGAAUGAGUUGGAGCAUCAACGUUGGCAUUCAGAAGACGCCGAAGUCAUAGCUCAGUUAAAGAAAGAACUACAAAGAACCAGGCAAUGCAUGUCAGAAUUGGAUGAUAGCAUGGAACAGUAUAUCCAGUCGGUAGAGAGGUUUAGACAUCAGGAAGGGGCUCGAUUGGCUAGAGAUCACCUAUAGGUGAACAUAUAUGCUAUGUGGGAAGAGGACCAGACUUGGCGAAAGUUCAUGAGAAGCUUAAAGCCUAUUAUCAUCCCCUGCGUGGGAUUGCUUUCAUUUAUACUUCGUUUUAUUAUUAUUCCCCUUUUGAACUUACUUUCCCAUUUAUGUGUUGUUAAACAUUUUUUUGAGUGAUAUUAAUGCAAUAUUUUGGGGGAUAAUGAAUUGGCUUAAAAAGACAUAUACAUCCUUCAAUUCGCUAGGCCUACCCUUGGCACAAAAGGGUCACAUAUAUGUUUAGGACGCGAUAUUUGUUUGUUUUCUUGUGUGUUUUGACUGUUUAUGUGGUACGUUGCUUUGAAUGAGGACAUUUUUAGCCCACUCCUUGUCAAAAAAUUUCUACAAUGCCAAAUACAAGUCACUACCAAAAUGUCCGACCAAAAUUCCAUGAGUCUUGAGUUUCUAAGCUAGAAAUAAAAUCCUAUUACCAAAUCCUAAAACAUUACUCUGUCAUCUCAGGAAAGGUAAAAUUGCUGCUAAGAUGGAAAAAGGCAAGAAUGUCGAGGUGAAGACGACUGAGGAGAGUCUAAGGAUGAAACUGCGUCGAUUCAAACAAGAGAUUCGAGAAAUGGGAGAAAGAAGAAUAGAAGUAGAACUAGCCACCGCAGCUGCACAAGCCAAACGUGUAGCACUAGAUGCGGAUUUAGCGGUUAAGAUGACAAGAUAUGCUAUCAUGAACGAGGAGACGGUUGCUAUGCGGAAGGAAUUUGAUGUCUUCAACAAUGAUAUAACUAUGAGGCUUCAGAAGAUACACGAAAAAUGCUCUUUCUUCAAUCAAGAAGCCAACAGUGGUCCUGAAGACACUCACCCUGGAGCUACUGAAGACGAUACCUAUGAGGAAAUCAUCUAUAUGUUUCCCUUCCCGGGACGUCUGAAAGGAGGAGACAAAAAUAUCACUCUCCCAGCUUACGAGCGAACACAUAGCGUGGGGGAAGAGUCGUGCCGUGUGCUCUCAUUUACGAUCACCUUAAGGCUUCACGCAUGCUGAAGCCUCUUGAAGGAACCACUUUUGGGUUUGGGUAUGAAAGCUCUCAAAAGAUGUGUGUCUACCACCCAAACCAAAGAGGACACACUAUAGAAGUGUUGACACCCAAUUUUGACCCUCCCCGAUGAUAAUUAAUUUUUGAUCUUCUUAAUUCUCAAAUUAUUUAGAAUAAUUAGCUUUAUAAAUCUAAGUAUUUUCCAAGGUUACUUUAAGUAAUUUCAGUGGGAUUUUAUAGCUUUUAAGCAAUAGAUAUAUUUCAUAUAAUUAUGUAUAUAAUUAAUAUAUUUUAUGAUUAUUCGAAAAUCAUCUCAAAAAUAUUUUAGUUUUACUUAAAUAUUUGGUUAAUUAGUUUAGUUAUAUCAUAUUUUAUAUUUUAAAUUAUUUGGUUUAUAAUUAAUUCAAUUAUUUUAUUUCAUUGGAAUUAAAAAGCUUAUUAAUUAAUCUAUAUUAAUUCAUCUUGUUUAAUUACUAGUUGAACUUAUCCUAAUCAACUAAGUUUGACUACAUUUGGCUAUGAUUUAGAUUUAUAUGGCCAAAGUUUAAAUCCAAUUAUAGCUUAUUCAAUUUCAAAGGACCAAAAGUUUGGGCCUUUUCUCAAAAUCCAACAAUCAGCCCAACUCCAAUCAUUCCCAACCCAACUUAAUUCCAACCUACCAAUUCUCCUAAACAACCAAUCCGGCCCAAACCUCAACUCAGCCAACCCAUUUUCUCAAUUCCCAGCCCCUUCCCAGAUUUCCCAGCCCACCCCUUACCCCUGACCCGGCCCGAUCCUCAUCUUCAACAAAGAACCCGACAUCACAUACGUACAACAACACAAACCGAUCCCUCUGCAUCUUCUUCUCCAGAAAGUCGCGACCCAACAACAUCGGCCCAGCGAGAACAAAACCCAAAUCGCAAUCCAGUCUAACAAAUCGACCCGGAAACGAUAGUCCAAAGGCGUCAACGACUUCUUCAUCGCGUCCCUCUCCGUUGUACGAUUUGAGCAGAGAAAAGCAACACACGUUUCUAUCCUUGUGGCCUUGAGAUGGAGCCACGUCGACGCCCAAGGACAAUUCUUUGAUCUGGAACGUCAAUUCACCCUUUCCUCUUUCGAAAAAGGGUUGAAACUUUAGGGAAAAGGUGUUUAGUUUGAAUGGUGAAAGAUUUUGAAUUCAAAUUGGAGAUGGGCCUUGUUCAUCCGGUAUUGGAUCCCUUUUUCCCAAAUAAACUCUGAACCCUAUUUCCCUGCUAUAUAUAUAUUGUUCAUUAUUCACUGUUGAAAGGUUGGAGAAAAAAUAUGGGGAGGAAUUAGCGAGAAUUCGAGAUAAACAUAGUAAAACUAUUAGCCAUAAGUAUUCACAGAUAAAUAAUUGGAAUAGAUUUCAGAGACUAGGAGUUCAGUCUUUGUUUGAGUCUUUGCAUCGUUUCUCUAUUCACGUGCAUUUAUCGAAAUCAUCGUUGGUGGUCGUGGAAAGCUCGUUGCCUUCAACUCUUCGUCUCGUUCCAGUCGCUGCCCGGAGAAAGGUAAUGUUUUCUUCUUCGUGAUAUUCCUUUCGCUUCUUCUUCUAGUUCAGAAUGACAUUCUGAUAUUCGAAGGUUUUCCUUUAGUGAUUGUUGGUUGUUAUUGGCUAUUGGACCGAUAUUAUCUCAGUAGUAUGUUUCGACUCUUUACUAGUUCAUUUUGGUAGAGUCUAUUGUGAAGGGCAAUGUUUAGUUUUCUUUUUCCCAGAUUGCAGCAUGUCCUGUUUUUUCUUGUUUCUAUUCUCAAGUCCUAUGCCCGCAGUUCAUCUCUUUCGCCUUUUGAAGUGUUGACAUUAGUGCAGUUUUCAUUCGGCGUCGGUUUUCUCCGUUUAAACUUAGCUUGUAUGUCAUUUUGGUCUUAACCUUGAAGCGUGCUAAAAAUGAUUUUAAUGUAUGCUUCUGAGUCAUUUUCGAUAUAAUGGUAUUUGACUGUUUUAUGUUUCCUCUCUCUGUGAUGUUUGGGGUCUAUUUUCUCACCGCCUAGGAUAUACCCUCUUGAUUGUUUCUUGCUUUGUUUCUGUAAUAUAUGCUUUUGGAUUUAAUAUUGGUCUAUUUUUCUAGGAGCAGAACUUGAUGUUGAUUUUGUUCAUUUUAGUUUCUUCUUGAUCCUUGUCUGAGUGGUCUGAACUUGAGUGAACAAACUGUUUUGGGUAGCCGUAUCGUGUAUUCUUUUAAACAUCACCAUGUGUUAAAUUUUCCUUUUAUUUCCGCAAUAUUGACAGCCUAAGAGUGGUCUCUUGAUGCUUUUUCCAUGGUGGAAGUAUGUCAACAUAGUUUUAGUGUUACUAUCUCAAUUUUAUUUUUUUACUAUUCUUGAUUUAAAAGUUCUGGACCUAGCUACUAUUUUCGGAAGUUUAAUGUAAGUAUGUUGUUUUCCUGUACCUUUGGUUGUAAAGUUAGUUGAUGGUGAUCUGCUCCUUUUGUCCUUUAUUUUUAAGUAUAUUGCUAAGUGGCCAUAUUGAGGCGUUUGGUGUGAGCGGUCAUGACAUUUCUUAAUCAUUUCCCUUAAAAUUGAUUAGGUGUCAGUAUAUCUCUCCAUGGUCUCCCUUAUAAGAUUAUUUGUUAAUUUGCUUGGGUCACUGUGUUUUUUUAUUUGGUUUACUCCUUUCAAUAUUUGUUGUGAUUGGAUUGCAUGUUAAUCCUGUGCCUUUUCUUUCUGUGGUGAUGCAUGUGAUUACCUCGGAGUCCUCUUGGACUCCUAUCUUCCUCCCCUCACAUUUCGGAUGGGCCGAUCAUGCCCAAUUCUAUCUUCUAUCGAGUCAGCUAGCAUGAAAUUGGAAUACAGUCGAAAUACAUUACAGGUUCAAAAAUGGCGAUAUACAGAUUUUAAAAAUACAGAAACAAGGCCCAAAUUUGAACCUACAACAGAUUCUUAAAGGCAAAAUGGGCCCUAAAGAAAUUUCAACAACAGGUUCAAGUGAAAAUGGGCCCAAAAGAAUGGUCCAGCAGCUGAUUUUGAAUUAAAUAGGCCCAAACUUAUGUUUGGGUAUUUUAGUAGUAGGACAGGUGGAUCAAGAUUCGGAAUUUUGGGUCAAAGGCCCAGAAUCAAUAUUUCUUUACCUUCCCCUCUUUAUUUAUUUGUUAUUGUGUUGAUUAACAGUUUACUUGAAUUAUGGUUUAACUUUAUUAAUUUCCCAAAGACAGUCAUUUCUCUUUUAUAUUCAAAAAAAUAAAUUAUUUUCUUUACUUAUUACUUAUCUUUAUUUUCAUUAUUAAUUUUGUCAACUCUUUAAAUUAUUUCCCCUUUAGAAUGAUCCCCCUUUAGUUUAUUUCCUCUUAAAUAAUAAUAAUAAUUAAUUAAAAAAUAAUAAUAAAUAAAUAAGUAAAUAAAGAGAAAUGAGUUCUUUUACUUAGUUAAAAUUUCAAAAAUUAGUCAAAGUCAUUUUAGUCAAUUCGCCAGUCAACCGCAGGUUAGCGGACAUUCCGAGGGCCUAACACCUUCUCGGAAUGUACAUUUGAACUUGAACCCUUUUAUUAUUAAUUGAUCUUAUCUGUUUAGGUCUUUUGAAAACCGUAAGUUUUUUUUCUUGAUUUUUACUAAAAAAUUAAGUGGCGGCUCUUUUCUUUUGGCAAUUCGAUUUUUCUUAAACCAUAAGUUUAAUCAAUUUUUCGUAAACCUUUUUGUUUUUAUUUUAUUUAUAUUUUCGAGUAAAACAAGAAGAAUGUGUGGAGCUUAAGGAACCAAUCCGCAACCUGAUCAACAUUGGAAAGAUCCCGUAUAUGUGGGGUGAGAACACCAUCCUUACCUGUGACCAAUCGGAGCCCAGUAUGCCAGUAACUGAGCACACUUUGUUUUAUUGUCAUUACUUCACGCCUUUUAAGAAAACAUUGUUGGAUAUCUAUAGUUAGUUGGUUCAAAAGGGUGUCUUGGCCUCUAUCAGAAAGGAUGAAGAAGCAAUCGAUCCGGUUGGAAUUGAAAUCUGGAAACCCUGCCCUUAUCAUGACGCCAUAGAUCACAACAUUGGAAGGUGCCUCGGGUUUCGCUAUGAUGUGGAAUCUCUCAUCAACAUGGGAAAGAUUCAAGUUAAGUUCAGCCCCCAUGAUUAAUGUAGCAGUCAGAAGAAGAAGCUUUGAUAAAGGCACCAUCUAUCUGUUAGGAGCUUUAUUGUAUGUUUUUUUUACUUUCAUUGUAAUCUUCAAGAAAUGAAUGAAUGAAAAUGAGAAUUUCCUCUUGUAUUCGAACUACGUAGGGCCUGAAUUCUCCUUCGGAGAUACGUAGGCAGCCUUUCAAGGUCUGGCCCCUAUCUUUUCCAAAUUUUCUUUUCCCCCUUUCAUUCUACUAGAAAACAUUAAAUUCACAUCAACAGAUGCCGAGAGAUGCAGCAAGAAGACCUUAGCUUAAUGCAAUUUAACCUUUCUGAGUCACUAGCCUCAAAAUAAAACGAGCAAAUUCUUGCUUGUUCAAUAAAAAAUCAGUCCCCAUUAUUCAUGGGUUAACAUGUUCUCAAACAAAGCAACUCUUAUGUGUUUACAUGCUUUCUAUGUGCUAUUUUGCAUUGUUUGUCCUGAAUCAAAACUAACAGAUUUGCCUUUAAGUUGUUUUCUCCUACAGGUACUCAGAAUUGGUCUGUGUCGGUAAGCUGGCUGAUCAUCCCUACUUCACAAAAUCUAAGGCUCCUAAAGAUUCCUUCCCCGGUAAAAACUCACAAACUGGAAAAGCAGUAAUGGGUGAUAACAAUGAAGAGAUUGGUCUUACCGAUGUCGUCGUGGCUCAGCCCAUCAUUGUUGAUCAGAAUAAACUAAUCAUGCAGUUGAUGCAACAGAUCACCGAGAUGGGGAUCGAAAUGCAGAGAAGGCAAGAUUUGCCUAAUCCGAGUUUUUCUUUCAAUGCUUCAGCAGACGGAAGGGCUCCGCUUCACUUUCCUCUUUUAAGCGUGGAACAGGCUCAAAACCCACCCUCCGAUCCCGCUCAAAAUCCCUCAAUCAUCGACUUAACCACCAAAAUCCCCAUUAUGCCUCCGCCUCUUAGCAAACACCUCCUCCUCCUCAAAGUACCAACCCCCAAGCGCCAUUCCCUCCCAAAAUGCCAACCCCCUCAAAACCAAAACGUUAACCACUCGCACACUUCCCUCCAUCACCAAAAUCAAUAUACCAACCCCUAAACUUUCCCUCAGAAGUAUCAAGCCCCUCAAAAUGCCUAGAGUCCCUCCAUUGCUCCACCUCUACCUCAAAAAGCCACUUUCCAAAUUCCGAUCCCCAAUGAGCAUGACGCCAAUGGUUCUGAGCUCGACCACUAUGAGGAGCAAGAGAGAGAGUGGAGGUCAAAGAAAGAGACCGCCAAGAUGGAUAUGAAGAAAGAGAUCCGAAAGGUAAUGAAAGAGUUGCAGUGUAUUCCUGAAGUCGCCGGUUUGAGUUAUGAGGAUUUAUGCAUUCAUCCAAAUUUGGACCUCCCGGAAGGGUUUAAGGUUUAAAAAUUUGACGUUUUCGGAGGAAUAGGGAACCCCUUAGCGCACCUGAGGGCCCACUGUGACCAACUCAUGGGAGUUGGAAGAUAUGAAGCUUUACUGAUGCGUCUUUUUAGCUGAAGUCUGAUUGCUCCACCCCUACCUCAAAAAGCCACUUUCCAAAUUCCGAUCCCCAAUGAGCAUGACGCCAAUGGUUCUGAGCUCGACCACUAUGAGGAGCAAGAGAGAGAGUGGAGGUCAAAGAAAGAGACCGCCAAGAUGGAUAUGAAGAAAGAGAUCCGAAAGGUAAUGAAAGAGUUGCAGUGUAUUCCUGAAGUCGCCGGUUUGAGUUAUGAGGAUUUAUGCAUUCAUCCAAAUUUGGACCUCCCGGAAGGGUUUAAGGUUUAAAAAUUUGACGUUUUCGGAGGAAUAGGGAACCCCUUAGCGCACCUGAGGGCCCACUGUGACCAACUCAUGGGAGUUGGAAGAUAUGAAGCUUUACUGAUGCGUCUUUUUAGCUGAAGUCUGAGUGGAGAGGCUUUAGAAUGGUUUACAUCUCAUGAAACAAGAAAAUGGCCUAGCUGGAAUACCCUAGCUAAGGACUUUAUCGAACGAUUCACCUACAAUGUGGAGAUCGUUCCUAAUCAUUAUUCUUUAGAAAAAAUGAAGAAGAAAUCAAAUGAAAGUUACAGAGAAUUUGCAUACAGAUGGAGAAAAGAGACGGCUAGAGUUCGGCCUCCUAUGUCUGAAAAGGAGAUUGUCGAAGUAUUUGUGCGGGUUCAAGAGCCCGAAUAUUAUGAUAGAAUCAUGUUUCUCAUUUGAGCAAAGUUUACUGAGAUAGUCAAAGUAGGUGAGACUAUUGAAGAUGGAUUAAGAACCGAGAAGAUUGCAUGUGUUGCUGCUUCGCCCGGAUCCUCGGGUUUGUUGAAGAAGAAAAGAGAAAAUGUAUCUUCUAUCUCUUAUGAGGGGAAAAAGACCCCAAAGAAAUCCCCAUCAUACCAAAGUCAUUCUCGACCUUCACAGAGUUCGUACCCGGCUUGUUAUGCACAUAAUGAUUACCAAAAUACCCCUCCCCCCAGUUAUCAAAAUACCCCUUCCCCCAAUUAUCAAAAUAAUUCCCCUCCUAUCUACCAAACUCCCCCUCCAGUUUACCAAACUCCAUCUCAUCACUACCGGAACGUUGCCCCCAACUGUGCUAACGUUCAGGAAUUACCAAACACCUUCCCCAAUGUACCAAACCCCAGCUCCACUUUACCAAACUAACCCCUCGAACUACGAAGCUCCACAACCAAAUUAACAAACCAACUCAUAUCCAAGAUAUCAAUCCCCCCGCCCAAACGCUCCAAACUAUCAUCAAAUGCCUCCUUCUCAACAAGGCAAUUACGAUCCCCCGUCCUAGAUUUGAGAAGAAGCCUGCUAGAAUUUCUACUCCGCUCAUUGAAAGCCGAACAAAGUUGUUCGAGUGAUUAACUGCGGCAGGAUAUAUUCAUCCAGUGGGGCCCUAGCAGGUUGACACAAGCUCAAGGUUUUACAGACCGGAUCAGAGGUGCACAUAUCACUCCAAUGGUGUUGGACAUGAUACCGAGGAAUGUAUCAACCUAAAGCACAAAAUCCAAGACCUGAUUGACCAGAAAGUGGUCUCUCUCCAGACAGUUGCGCCCAAUGUCAAUAGUAAUCCUUUGCCAAAUCAGGGAGGUGUCACUAUCAAUAUGAUAGAGAUGGAUGAUGAUUGGUGCAUGACAAAGGCAAUAGUUAUGAUCUCUCCUGAUGAACUGGAAAGGGUUGUAGCUUCAUUGAGCAUUAGAGAGAAGAAAGAGUUUGUGAUUCUGCCACUCGAGAAGGUUGUUGCCUUAGUGCCAAGGAAACUCUUGCCCGACCGAAGUUUGUGAUUGAAACGGCUGUUACCUAUGACCUGAUCCGGCAGGUGCUACACACCAGAAGAGCUAGUCCAGGGAGUACAAAAAAAGGAUCAGUCUAAAAGGCUAAUUAGUGAAUCCGGAGAGGAAGAGUUUUGGAGAAAAAUGCAGCCAAAAUAUUAUUCAAUUGUGAAGCAUCAAGAAAAGACGCCGACUCAGAUUUCUAUGUGGAAUUUAUUGAUAAGUUCGCAGUUGCAUAGGCAGGCUCUGAUGAAGGCUCUGGGUGACAGUUAUGUGCCAUGAUAAACCAGGUCGUUUGAGGACACCAAAUCAGUUUUUGUGACGAAGAGUUGCCCUUUGAAGGCAGGAUGCACAACAAAGCUCUGCAUGUCACCAUCAAAUGCCGGGACAAAAUUAUAAAUCAUGUUUUGGUCGACGAUGGGUUCGGUCUUAACAUCUGCCCACUUUCGACUCUCAGGAUACUGAAAUUUGACUUGGGAAAGGUUCAACAAAACCAGGUCAAUGUGAGAGCUUUCGAUGGAGUGCAGAGAGACACGAUAGGGGCAGUAAACUUAGGAAUUCAGAUGGGUCCUGCAGAGUUUAAUGUUGAGUUCCAGGUGUUGGAUAUCAACACCAGUUACAACCUGCUUCUAGGAAGACCGUUUAUUCAUAUGGUCGGGGCUGUGUCGUCUACCCUUCACCAACUGAUAAUUUUUUUUGAAAGGACCAUGAAAUGGUCAUUCAUGGUGAGGGGAGUCAUUCUGAUAGGUAUACACCGAUCAUUGAUGAGGACUCCUGAGGUUGCGAUUUCUACACGGUGGAGCUGGUAAAUGCCAUCGAUGAUGAUUUGUCUCCGCAACCUCCUAUGCCUGUUGUGUACAAGAUGAUUGCUAUUGUCAUGCUUUGAAAUGGUUUCAAACCAGGUUUCAGAUUAGGGAAGCACUUUUAAGGAAUUGUCGAGCCUAUUCAGAUCCCCGCCAAAGGAGCAAAGUUUGGUUUGGGAUAUGUCCCAACAGAUGACGAAGCCGAGAUAAAGAACAAGAGCGUUGAUCAAGCAUUGGACAGGCCAAUUCCUCAUCUAUACCAGUCAUUCCCAGUGUGAGAAUAUGUCAACGAUGGUGGUCUCAGGGAAGGAAUCUGGGGACUUUUUUAGGUGAUUGAUGCGGUCAUCGAGGAAGAGGCUGGGACAUCGGGCAUUCGUGAUGCAGAACUUGAGAAACAAUUGCAAAAUUGGACCUUCACACCACUCCUGAUUUCCCGUGCAACUUGGUAGAAAAGACUUGUGUUUAUGUUUGUUUUUAAAAUCAGUGGUAGUCCAAAAGAGGCCCGAGACCCACCUUUUAUGCAGUUUUACUUGUUUGAAGUUUUUAAAUUCCCUUGUGAUGUUUAAAAAGGCGAAAUGGCCCUUAGCCAUGGCCAAUGUUUGUGCUUGUUUUUCAAUUUAAAUGAAAACCUCUUUUAUCAAAAUUUGUUUACUUAUCUGUUUACAUUUUACUUUCCUAACUUUGUUUGUUUAUGAUUUCAGUAAUAUUAAUUUAACACCUGCCAAUGUCAUUUCAUGUCAUUAACCGAGUGAACGAAAUGAGGUAGGUGAUGAUGAAUGCGAGGAAUACGAGGAAGAAAAUGAGGUACCCGAAUAUGUUGCUGAAGAGUUUCGACAAUUCGAGAAUCAACACAAGCCGAAUUUAGAAAGAUGGAAAAAUUAGAAUUUGUGUUGACUACAGAGAUCUCAACAAAGCUAGCCCAAAAGAUAAUUUUCCAUCGCCAAACAUCCACAUUCUCAUUAAUAACUGUGCUAAGCAUGAGAUGCAGUCAUUUGUGAAUUGUUAUGAGGGUUACCACCAGAUCUUGAUGGAUGAAGAAGAUGCAGAAAAGAUAGCUUUCAUUACGCCAUGGGGUGUAUAUCAUUAUCGGGUGAUGCCUUUUGGUAUCAAGAAUGCCGGUGCUACUUAUAUGAGGUCUAUGACAAUCAUCUUUAAUAAUAUGAUUAACAGGGAGAUUAAGGUAUAUGUUGAUGAUGUAAUAAUCAAAUCGCGCAAGAGUUCGGAUCACUUGACUCACUUGACUCACUUGAGAAAGUUCUUUGAUCGCCUGCGUCGAUACAAUUUGAAGUUAAAUCCUGCCAAAUGUGCUUUCGGAGUGCCAGCUGGCAAGCUGUUGGGAUUUAUAGUCAAUAGGAGGGGAACUGAGCUUGACCCUUCCAAGAUCAAGGAGAUCCAGGAAUUACCUCCUCUGAAGACCAAAAAAGAGGUGAUGAGUUUUCUGGGAAGGUUGAACUACAUCAGUCGAUUUAUAGCUCAGUCCAUCGUGGUGUGUGAGCCAAUCUUUAAGUUGUUGCAAAAAGAUGCUUUGACCAAGUGGACCGGAGAGUGUCAAACUGCUUUUGAUGCCAUCAAGAACUAUUUGUCUAUUCCGCUGGUAUUGGUUCCUCCAUAGAAAGGAAGUUCACUGUUGUUGUAUCUGUCUGUCUCGAAUAACGCAUUUGGAUGCUUGCUUGGUCCACAUGAUGAAACUGGGAAGAAAGAGCGAGCCAUUUAUUACUUGAGCAAGAAAUUCACUCCAUAUGAGGCCUGUUACACUCUUUUGGAGAGGACAUGUUGCGCUUUGACCUGGAUUGCUCAGAAGUUGAGACAUUAUUUUUCUUCUUAUACCACAUUUCUCAUUUCCAGGAUGGACCCGUUAAAGUAUAUUUUCCAGAAGGCAAUGCCGACCGGGAAGUUGGCUAAAUGGCAAAUGCUUUUGAGUGAAUUUGACAUUGUGUAUGUGACUCAGAAGGCGAUAAAAGCACAAGCCUUAGCUGAUCAUCUUGCGGAGAGUCCAGUUGAUGAAGAGUAUGAACCACUCAAAACUUAUUUUCCCGAUGAAGAAGUUGCAUUUGUGGGUGAAGAUAUUUCUGAAGCAUACCCUGGUUGGAGAGUAUUCUUUGAUGGAGCGGCCAAUCACCAAGGGAAAGGUAUCGGAGCGGUCUUAGUGUCAGAAACCGGUCAGCAUUAUCCUAUGAUAGCUAAACUCCGAUUUGAUUGCACAAACAACAUGGCUGAGCAUGAAGCUUGCAUCCUCGGUCUGAAGAUGAAAAUUAAUAUGAACGUUCAUGAGCUGUUGGUUAUUUGAGAUUCGGUUUUGUUAAUUCACCAAGUUCAAGGAGAAUGGACCGUGAAGAACCUAAAGAUCACAUCGUACGUGCAGUAUAUAUAGAGGUUGUGCAAAAGGUUCUGCAAGAUUGAGUUCAGACACACAAGGACACAUAAUGAGUUGGCCGAUGCUCUCGCCACAAUUGCCUCGAUGAUUAAACAUCCAGAUACAAGUUAUAUUGAUCCCUUGGAUAUAGAGGUAAAAGAGUAGCCUGCCCAUUGUUCACAUGUUGAAGCAGAACCAGAUGGUUUGCCUUGGUAUUUUGACAUCAAGAAGUAUUUAGAGACAGGGACUUAUCCUGAGAAUGCAAUGUUCAACCAGAAGAAGUCGAUACGCCGUAUGACCCUCAAUUUCUUCGCAAGCGGGGAAAUCCUUUAUAGGAGGACUCCAGAUUUAGGUCUUCUCAGAUGCGUUGAUGCUAGUGAAGCUGCAAAGCUUCUGGAAUAGAUACAAGUCGGAGUUUGUGGUACUGACAUAAAUGAGCUCACUUUGGCGAGGAAAAUCCUCUGAGCCGGUUAUUUUUGGAUGACUAUGGAGCAUGAUUGCUGCAAGUUUAUGCAGAAGUGCCAUAAAUGCCAAGUUCAUGGUUAUUUGAUUCGAAUGCCGCCUCACGAACUCAAUGCUAUGAGUUCACCUUGGCCGUUUGUAGCUUGGGGCAUAGAUGUCAUUGGUCCAAUAGAGCCAGACGCCUCUAACAGACAUAGAUUUAUUUUGGUUGCCAUUGACUACUUCACCAAGUGGGUGGAAGCAGCUUCAUAUAAGUCAGUGACCAAGAAGGUUGUAGCUGAUUUUGUUUGCAACAAUUUGAUAUGUAGGUUUGGAGUGCCAGAAUCUAUCAUUACUGAUAAUGGAGUGAACCUCAACAGUCACUUGAUGAGAGAGGUAUGUGAACAGUUCAAGAUUACUCACCGAAACUCAAUCGCCUAUCAUCCCCAAAUGAAUGGAGUUAUAGAAGCCGCCAACAAGAACAUAAAGAAGAUUUUGAGGAAAAUGAUUGAUAAUCGCAGAGGUUGGCAUGAGAUGUUGUCGUAUGCUUUGUUGGGUUACCGAACAACUGUCAGAACAUAAGUUGGAGCUACUCCAUAUUUGCUAGUAUAUGGAACAGAAGCAGUUAUACCUGUAGAAGUUGAAAUACCUUCUUUGAGAAUCAUCCAAGGAGCUGAAUUGAGUGAUGUUGAAUGGGUUCACAAGCGGAUUAAUCAGUUAACAUUGAUUGAUGAGAAGAGAAUGGUUGUUGUUUGUCAUGGACAACUGUAUUGACAGAGAAUGAUUCAUGCUUUCCACAAGAAAGUAAGAGCCGGGAUAUUUGAAAUCAGUCAGUUGGUUCUCAAACGCAUUUUUCCUCAUCAGGAUGAGUACAAAGGGAAAUUUGUACCAAAUUGGCAAGGACCCUACAUGGCUCGCAAAGUAUUAUCUGGAGGCGCCUUGUUCCUAUCGGAGAUAGAUGGCAUCGAAUGGCCGAAACCGAUCAAUUCAGAUGCUGUCAAGAGAUAUUAUGUGUGAAGCUUCAGUUUGUAUUUCUAUCAUUCCCUUGUAAUCGUUCUAUUUGCUUGUAAUCACUUUGUUUAGAAUUUUAUCCCUCUGUAAUGAACUACGUCUGACCUGAAUUCUCAAGAAUGAGAUACGUAGGUGACCUAUGUCAGCCUCGGUCACCCCUUUAUCCAUUUUAAUAUUUCUCUGUAUCUGAACUGCAUUCGACCUGAAUUCUCAAGAAUGAGAUUACGUAGGCAGCUUAUGUCGGCGUCGGUCGGUUUCUUUGUAAAUUUCUUAUUUUUUUGUUAAUCCUCGCGGGGGGAACUACGUUUAACCUGAUUCCUGCCUCAACGGGAUACGUAGGCGCCACAACGACUCGGUCAUAUCUCCCGUAAGAUUUCUAUCUUUCUUUACGAUAGAAACUGGGACAAAUUUUUUGAAAAGGACUCAAAAAUUCUAAAGAAGAAGAUCUCUCCAAUAAAGUCGAGACUGAAGUUACUUUGAGAUUUGCAACUGGGACAGAAUUUUUGAGAGGAUCUCAAAAAUUCUGUGAUUUGCUCACCAAUGGUUAAAGAUAAGCCGAGACAGUUAAUUGAGACAAAAAUUUUGAGGACGGCCUCAAAAUCUCAACAGGGUUUAUUGACAGUUUAGAGCAACUUUGAAUACUUCCCAAUAAGUAAUCAGAUAGACCUUGAGACAUCAAUUUCAAAGACGUUCACUAAGCUUGACGUGACAUGACACUUGGCAGUGACCUUUUCCAAAUGUUACUUUUUGAAAAUCUAUUUUUCUUAAAACGUUUCUUUUAUGUUUCAAUUAUUUUGCAUAAAAAUAUUUUGUCUUAUCUAUCAAGAGGCGGGAGAUUGAAGAAAUCAACCGGAGAUAGCGAUACAAGGAGAAGACAAUCGAAGAGAUCGACACAGAUUAGUUCAUUUUAAACUAAUAAUUUUUCUGUGGAUGCAGGAAAAUUUUUAUGCUUCAUAUACCAAGAGUUGGGAAUAUGAAUAACAUUAUUUCAUUCAAAUUCCCAGCAAAGCAAGGUUCAUAGCGAACACUGCAAAUAUGCUCAGAGAUGGAUCAAACGAAAACCCCGAGGAAAGACAUCUUACUAUUUUCCAUCAACUAAAGAUACCUGAAAGUCGUUUAUCUGCAUUAUAUUAUCAGAUAUGAUAAUAUUCUUACCCUAAAGGUUAUUUACAUUGUAUUGUCGAAUGAGAUGAUAUCACUACUCCGAGGGUCAUUUUUAUUUUAUUGUCAAUUGCGACGAUAUUGCCACCCAGAAGAUACCCAGAAGAUCACCUACGUUGCUCCGUGAAACAUGAUCUUCGUUCGGUAUCGGGGAUGGCAUCAUCAAAAGAUUCAUACAUUGCAAGAGAAGGAAAUUAUGCACUGCAAGAGAAAUAAGUCAUGCAUUGCAAGAGAAAGAAGUCAUGCAUUGCAAGAGAAAGAAAUCAUGCAUAGCGAGAGAAAGAUUCAUGCAUCGCAAGAGAAAGGAGUCAGGCAUUGCAAGAGAAAGAUGUCAUGCAUAGCAAGAGAAAGAAGUUAUGCAUAGCAAGAGAAAGAAGUCACUCAUAGCAAGAGAAAGAAGUCAUGCAUUGCAAGAGAAGGAAAUCAUACACAACAAGAGAAAUAAAUCAUGCAUCGCAAAGAAGUCAUGCAUAGCAAGAGAAGAAAGUCAUGAAUCGCUAGAGAAAAAUUCAUGCAUAGCAAGAGAAAGAGUCAUGCAUCGCAAGAGAAGGAUGCAUGCAUAGCAAGAGAAGGAGUUGUGCAUCGCAAGAGAAAGAUUCAUGCAUCGCAGGGAAGGAAACCAUGCGUCACAAGGAAAUCAACACCGAUUGCAUCAUUUUCAUUUACAAGAACAAUAUCAAGAGAACUAUCAACAUAUUACAUCAGCCUAUUUUAUUACUUCGACAUCAAAGAAAGAGUACAUUGAAGAUUAUAUUGCAAAUAUAAUCGACAAACUUUAUUUGCUUUACGUCAAACUGGAGGAAGCUGACGUUAAGUGUCCAAGGAGAAUAAUUAAGUGUCAAUGCGGUAAAAGACACCAUCUCCCAUUUGAAUUGCAUUUUAUGCUAAUGAGUUUUAUCUCAGUCUUAUCCGAGAGCAUCCCAAGAGGAUGAAUUCUCAAACAAACCACAGGUGCGGACGACAUAAAAAAGGAUGCAGCACAACGUGGAAUUUUUUCUUAGCAGCGAACUGGAACAUAGUCCAAAGAGGAGUGCAAAACUCUUAGGGCGCGAGCUGAGAAGCGAUUUCCACCACAAUAAAACAACACCCCUAUCAGAAGGCAUGCAGGUUUUUCUUAGAUUUAUCAGUUCCAGUUUCGCAUCCGAAAAUUUUUGGGUUAACCGGAAACAACUUUCCAAUCUAAGUGGCAAUGCUCCAAGAGCUUUGAAAAUUAUGUCCAUGUAAGUUCUUAAUUAUGGGUGUGAAGCGUGCCACAUUCAUGGCUAAGAGUUUGCAAGCCUUCUUUUCAUACUCGACUUACUUUAUCGCUUUUCCAGAACCAAAAGGUUAUCUUACAUAAUAGAUUUCCUUUUCAACCAAUCGAGUCGAACUACAAGCGGCCUGAUUCCUUGAGUUGAGGGAUAUAUAUGUAGGCAGAAUCGAUGUUGAAACUCAGUUGUAUUCCAAAAUUCGCUCUUAAAUCUUAUGCUUUAGCAUUUCGUUCCUUUCAUAAUCCAGUAUCGGGAUGGCUUUUGAAUUCUUUCAAAAUUGUGCAUCAAAUCAGGCGUAUCGAACUACAAGUGAACUGAAUUAUCAUAUAGCCUGAGAUAUGUAGGUUACCCAGUUCUGGGGUUCGGCCAUAAUACCUAAAGUCCGUACCAAAUCCCUUUUCUAAAAGAUGAAGAUGUGGUCGAUCAAAAUUGGAUUGGUCAAUUUCAUUUUCUUCGAAGUUCUUGCAUCCAUCCAAGUAAAAUGAGGGACAGCUGUUGACACCCAAUUUUGGACCUCCACAAUAUAUAUUAAUCAUCGAGCUUUUUAAAAUUCCAAUCGAUUUGAAAUAAUUGACUUUAUAAAGUUCAAGAUAUUCUUCAAGUUAUUUUAAAUAGUUUUGUCACUUUCCACCUAUUUUCCCAGGCCCAAUUUUUCCCCACAAUACCAAAGAAACCCAUUCCAAAACAUUACCCAUCAGCAAACCCAUUUUUCCUAGACAAUACAUACAGCCCACCAACGAUACCAAACAACAUGCCCGACCCCGACCCCUAUACAGUGUAUUCUUCUCCAAUGUUAACUCCAGCAGGUCACAAACGACGCGAACAACGGCUCCAAACGACAUCAAUUUUCCAUCAAAGUUCACAGAAAUUACACGGCGUGAGCAAGCCAGUGCAGUACACUACAAUUCAUUGUCGUCUUCUUCUUUUUCCUUCUCUAGCCGUACGAUCUCAGCAAAAAAAAGCAAACCGCGUCUCGUCCUUGGGCUGUGAGAUCAUGCCACGAAGCACGCCAAAGACAAUCGAUCGAUCUGAGGCAUCCAGUUCUCCUUCCCUCAUUUGGAAUGGUCUGAAGUUUCAGAAAAAGGUUGCCUCCCCUUAAUGGUGAAACAAUUUCUAGUUUGAAUUUUGGAAAUGGGUGUCAUCCUAUCCGUAUUCUCACCUUUCCGCACAAAAGUUUGUAACCCUAUUUUUUUCCUAUAAAUACUCUCUUCCUUUUCUUUGUAAAAGGUUGGAGAAUAUCAUAAAGAUAUAGGAGGGAAAUGCAUAAUAUAACAUUGAUAUAUAGAAAUUCAUUAGAAGGUUCUUUUUGUGGUUUCUUAGUGAUCAGCGUAGAAGUUUUCCGAGUCCAAAUUUCCAUCUCAGGUUCCCUGUGCUCUGUUUGGAAUCUCUCGAAGUUGGUGGAAGUUGCUCUCAAGCUCGUCACUGUCUCCAUUUUGCUACACCGGAAAAGGUAACAUUUCUUCUUUUGAGACGUUCUCCUCGUCUUCCCCUCCAUCUCGAUGCGCUAUUUUAUAAUGCUAUAAAAAAUCCUUAUUCUUUGUUUUUCGUUGUUAGUUGUUGUUGGACUGGUGAUUGUUUUAAUAUGACACUUGCAUUCUUAGUCGAUUUAAGGAAUAGUGUAGAGUUAAAAUUUUGGAGAUUCGUUGGGUUUCUUUGCUGAAGUUGUGCGUGUUAUUUUGUUGUUGUCAACCAUCAUUAAGUUGUUUAUUCAGGUUAAUGCAGUGCUUGUUUGGCAUGAGUUUUCUCUGUUUAAAAUUAGCCUAUAUCUUACCAAGUUUUGCUUGUAUGUCAUUUUGGUCUUAACCUUGAAGCAUGCUAAAAAAAUGAUUUUAAUGCAUAUAUCUAAGUUGUUUCGAUAUAAUGAUCUUGGUUGUUUCACCAUUUCCUUUAUAUUCGUCUUCUCACUGCCUAGAGCAAAUUUUUGGCUUAUCUCAGCCCCAUUUGGCUUAAUCGUUGAUGUUUAAAUGGGUUACCACCUGUGAGUUGAUUCAGUCUGGGUUUCAAAUCUCUUUCUUUAUUUGAAAAGAUUUUAGUCUCGUUAGAAGUGAGUUUAAGGUCAUUUUCCUAUUCUUCUUGGUCAUAUUCCUUGCCUUGUUUCUUUAAAUUAAGUAGGUGGUUUUAAUUUUGGUUAGCUUUCUAGGCAGAAUUCUCCAGUAUGUGCCUUUGUUGCAAUCAUGCUUUAAUUACAUCCAAGUAUGGGUUUAUUCUCUGUACUGAUCUUGUUAAUGUUAAAAUGGGUUAUUUUCUUUUCGUAGCAGCAUAUGAGAUUUGCAUGUCUUGUGUUACCUUUUAGUUUGAUUUUGCUCAUGGUGAGGAUUAAUAACAUAUAUUAUUUUGGGAAGAUAUUACCUCCAAAUUGGAUUAUUUGUUUUAUCUGCUAGUGGAUUUUUGUUUCCUUUAGGUCUUGCUUGUCUUUAAAUAUUAAAGUUUUAUCAAAUAAUAGUCUUCUAGUAACCCAUUUAUGGUUAGGAAAAGUUUAGUCAAUUGAUUUUGGAUUUAAUAGCUUGGUUUUUUAUUUUAAAUACGUGCAAUAAGGUAUUAAUUUUGGCGGGUCCAUUGCUAUGCCAUCAGUGGGGUAUGUUGCUUUAUUGAGUUUUAUCACUGAGUUUCUUUGUUAUGAAUGUGUAUUAAUCCUUUUCUUUUCUUCCUAUCUCAUGUGAUUCCGAGUGAGUUCAUUGAAUUCCACUGCCUUCCUCUCAAUUCGUUCCAAAUGGGCCAUGGAGGCCCAAUUGCAUUUCCUCGAGUUAUAUUUAAACCCAAUCCCCAAUGUACUGCGGUGUACAAGUUCAGGAAAGUUGUUACAUAGGAAUGAUGCAGAAAUAUGGACCCAAAAUAGGGUCCGUAUACGGGGGUAUACGUAAAACGUAUACACAAUUUUUCUGAAAGAGAUAGGCCCAAAAGCCUUGAACAAUUUCAAUAGGUCAAAAGGAGCUAAUG